rnacentral:rRNA from 1 species
GCUUGCUAUUUGCUGACGACCGGCGCACGGGUGCGUAACGCGUAUAGAAUCUACCUUGUACUAGGGGAUAGCCUUUGGAAACGAAGAUUAAUACCCUAUAGUAAGUAUUUAUGGCAUCAUUUAUACUUUAAAGGUUACGGUACAAGAUGACUAUGCGUCCUAUUAGUUUGUUGGUGAGGUAACGGCUCACCAAGACUUCGAUAGGUAGGGGCCCUGAGAGGGGGAUCCCCCACACUGGUACUGAGACACGGACCAGACUCCUACGGGAGGCAGCAGUGAGGAAUAUUGGACAAUGGAGGCAACUCUGAUCCAGCCAUGCCGCGUGCAGGAUGACGGCCCUAUGGGUUGUAAACUGCUUUUAUGUAGGAAGAAACACUCUCACGUGUGAGAGCUUGACGGUA